AGAGUUUGAUCCUGGCUCAGGAUGAACGCUAGCGGCAGGCCUAAUACAUGCAAGUCGGACGGGAUUGGGGAGCUUGCUCCCCAUGAGAGUGGCGCACGGGUGCGUAACACGUAUGUAACCUACCCUUAUCAGGGGGGAUAGCCUCUCGAAAGAGAGAUUAAGCCCGCAUAACAUUAUAGUAUAGCAUUAUACAAUAAUCAAAUAUUUAUAGGAUAAGGAUGGGCAUGCGGAACAUUAGCUAGUUGGUAAGGUAACGGCUUACCAAGGCUACGAUGUUUAGGGGAUCUGAGAGGAUGACCCCCCACACUGGUACUGAGACACGGACCAGACUCCUACGGGAGGCAGCAGUAAGGAAUAUUGGUCAAUGGGCGGAAGCCUGAACCAGCCAUGCCGCGUGCAGGAAGACGGCCCUACGGGUUGUAAACUGCUUUUGCAGGGGAAUAAACCCCCGUUCGUGAACGGGGUUGAAUGUACUCUGAGAAUAAGGAUCGGCUAACUCCGUGCCAGCAGCCGCGGUAAUACGGAGGAUCCGAGCGUUAUCCGGAUUUAUUGGGUUUAAAGGGUGCGUAGGCGGCUUUGUAAGUCAGGGGUGAAAGACGGUAGCUUAACUAUCGCAGUGCCUUUGAUACUGCAGGGCUUGAAUGUACUUGAGGUAGGCGGAAUGUGACAAGUAGCGGUGAAAUGCAUAGAUAUGUCACAGAACACCAAUUGCGAAGGCAGCUUACUAAAGUAUGAUUGACGCUGAGGCACGAAAGCGUGGGGAUCAAACAGGAUUAGAUACCCUAGUAGUCC
rnacentral:rRNA from 1 species